UACAGAGGUCUCAAGCGUUGUUCGGAUUCAUUGGGCGUAAAGGGUGCGUAGGCGGCGCGGUAAGUCGGGUGUGAAAUCUCGGAGCUUAACUCCGAAACUGCAUUCGAUACUGCCGUGCUUGAGGACUGGAGAGGAGACUGGAAUUUACGGUGUAGCGGUGAAAUGCGUAGAUGUCGUAAGGAAGACCAGUGGCGAAGGCGGGUCUCUGGACAGUUCCUGACGCUGAGGCACGAAGGUCAGGGGAGCAAACGGG
rnacentral:rRNA from 1 species